GGUCUCUGGACCGGGAUUCCCGUGCCAGAGACCGCGGCCAAGCCGAAUGUGUCUGUGUAUGUCCACUGGGUUUAAAAGAUUAGUAUAACUCAGAGAGGACAGUUUCUGCAAUCAAGAUGUCCAAUUAAUAAAUGCAGCAGCAGCAGCAGCAGCAGCAGCAGAGGCAUGCUAUGGGUCAGUGCACACCAGCACAGAUAAGAGGAGUGUGUGAUCAGG